UACGUAGGGGGCAAGCGUUGUCCGGAAUCAUUGGGCGUAAAGCGCGUGUAGGCGGCCCGAUAAGUCCGCUGUGAAAGUCCAGGGCUCAACCCUGGAAUGCCGGUGGAUACUGUCGGGCUCGAGUCCGGAAGAGGCGAGUGGAAUUCCUGGGUGUAGCGGUGAAAUGCGCAGAUAUCAGGAGGAACACCGAUGGCGAAGGCAGCUCGCUGGGACGGUACUGACGCUGAGACGCGAAAGCGUGGGGAGCAAACAGG
rnacentral:rRNA from 1 species